rnacentral:rRNA from 1 species
CAAUAGCGUAUAUUAAAGUUGUUGCGGUUAAAAGGCUCGUAGUUGGAUCUCGGCAGGCAGGGGGUGGUUCGCUCUUAGCGCUACUGCCCCAUUUGCCUGUGUGAUUGGCGGAGGUUUCGGGGUGCUCUUCGUUGAGUGACCCGGGGCGCCGUCAGGUUUACUUUGAAAAAAUUAGAGUGCUCAAAGCAGGCUUUUCACGCUUGAAUAUUCGUGCAUGGAAUAAUGGAAUAGGAACUCGUUUCUAUUUUGUUGGUUUUCGGAAAUCGAGUUAAUGAUUAAUAGGGACAAUUGGGGGCAUUAGUAUUCAGACGACAGAGGUGAAAUUCUUGGACCGUCUGAAGACUAACUACUGCGAAAGCAUUUGCCAAGAGUGUUUUCAUUAA